ensembl:misc_RNA Metazoa_SRP Metazoan signal recognition particle RNA
GCCGGGCGCGGUGGCACGCACCUGUAGUCCCAGCUACUCGGGAGGCUGAGGCUGGAGGAUCGCUUGAGUCCAGGAGUUCUGGGCUGUUGUACGCUAUGCCGAUUGGGUGUCUGCACUAAGUUCGGCAUCAAUAUGGUGACCUCCCGGGAGCGGGGGACCACCAGGUUGCCUAAGGAGGGGUGAACCGGUCCAGGUCGGAAACGGAGCAGGUCAAAACUCCCGUGCUGAUCAGAACUAUAUAAUCCUGGAUUAAUCUCACAAUCUUGGAAAAUGAUUGCAAUUUUUUAAUUUAU